rnacentral:lncRNA from 1 species
GGGGUAGGGGUAGGCCGAAGAAUUACUGGGGAGAGGUGAUUUGGCGGGACAUGGAGCAGUUACAGCUCACUGAGGACAUGACCCUAGAUAGGAAGAUCUGGAGGACGCGAAUUAGGGCAGAAGGCUAGGGUCAGUUUGGGUCGCUAGUGUAGGGUAUUACUUGGUGGGGGUAUUAUGCUUGUUAUGGUACCUUGUUUCAUGAUUUAUUAUGAAUCUGUUUAGUUUUCUCUGUUUUCUAUUACUUGUGGGUGUCGUAUUUAUGUUAUGCCAUCUUGUUCCAUGCUUUACUAUGUAUUUGUGUAGUAUUCCGUGUCUCGAGCCGGGGGUCU